ensembl:misc_RNA Metazoa_SRP Metazoan signal recognition particle RNA
GCCGGGCAUGGUGGCGUGUGCCUGUAGUCCCAGCUAUUCGGGAGGCUGAGGCUGGAGGAUCUCUUGAGUCCAGGAGUUCUGGGCUAUAGUGCACUAUGCCGAUUGGUGUCCACACUAAGUUCGGCAUCAAUAUGGUGACCUCCUGGGAGCGGGGGACCACCAGGUUGCCUAAGGAGGGGUGAACCGGCCCAGGUCAGAAACGGAGCAGGUCAAAACUCCUGUGCUGAUCAGUAGUGGGAUCGUGCCUUUGAAUAGCCACUACACUCCAGCCUGGGCAACAUAGUGAGACUUCGUCUCUA